AAGACUGGGAUAACUUCGGGAAACCGGAGCUAAUACCGGAUAACAUUUGGAACCGCAUGGUUCUAAAGUGAAAGAUGGUUUUGCUAUCACUUAUAGAUGGACCCGCGCCGUAUUAGCUAGUUGGUAAGGUAACGGCUUACCAAGGCGACGAUACGUAGCCGACCUGAGAGGGUGAUCGGCCACACUGGAACUGAGACACGGUCCAGACUCCUACGGGAGGCAGCAGUAGGGAAUCUUCCGCAAUGGGCGAAAGCCUGACGGAGCAACGCCGCGUGAGUGAUGAAGGGUUUCGGCUCGUAAAACUCUGUUAUUAGGGAAGAACAAACGUGUAAGUAACUGUGCACGUCUUGACGGUACCUAAUCAGAAAGCCACGGCUAACUACGUGCCAGCAGCCGCGGUAAUACGUAGGUGGCAAGCGUUAUCCGGAAUUAUUGGGCGUAAAGCGCGCGUAGGCGGUUUCUUAAGUCUGAUGUGAAAGCCCACGGCUCAACCGUGGAGGGUCAUUGGAAACUGGGAAACUUGAGUGCAGAAGAGGAAAGUGGAAUUCCAUGUGUAGCGGUGAAAUGCGCAGAGAUAUGGAGGAACACCAGUGGCGAAGGCGACUUUCUGGUCUGUAACUGACGCUGAUGUGCGAAAGCGUGGGGAUCAAACAGGAUUAGAUACCCUGGUAGUCCACGCCGUAAACGAUGAGUGCUAAGUGUUAGGGGGUUUCCGCCCCUUAGUGCUGCAGCUAACGCAUUAAGCACUCCGCCUGGGGAGUACGACCGCAGGUUGAAACUCAAAGGAAUUGACGGGGACCCGCACAAGCGUGGAGCAUGUGGUUAAUUCGAAGCACGCGAAGAACCUUACCAAUCUUGACAUCCUUUGAAACUCUAGAGAUAGAGCCUUCCCUUCGGGGA
rnacentral:rRNA from 1 species